GACGAACCGUGCGAACGUUAUUCGGAAUCACUGGGCUUAAAGCGCGUGUAGGCGGGACGGCACGUCGGUCGCUGAAAGCCCCCGGCUCAACCGGGGAACGGGCGCCGAUACGACCGCCCUGGAGGAACGUAGGGGGACCUGGAACUUCCGGUGGAGCGGUGAAAUGCGUUGAGAUCGGAAGGAACGCCCGUGGCGAAAGCGAGGUCCUGGACAAUUCCUGACACUGAGGCACGAAAGCCAAGGGAGCAAACAGG
rnacentral:rRNA from 1 species